AUACGGAGGGUGCAAGCGUUAAUCGGAAUUACUGGGCGUAAAGCGCGCGUAGGCGGUUUGAUAAGUCGGAUGUGAAAUCCCUGGGCUCAACCUGGGAACUGCAUUCGAAACUAUUUGACUUGAGUAUGGUAGAGGUAAGUGGAAUUCCAGGUGUAGCGGUGAAAUGCGUAGAUAUCUGGAGGAACAUCAGUGGCGAAGGCGACUUACUGGACCAAUACUGACGCUGAGGUGCGAAAGCGUGGGGAGCAAACAGGAUUAGAAACCCCAGUAGUCC
rnacentral:rRNA from 1 species